rnacentral:lncRNA from 13 species
AGUUUUUAAAGAGAAGCUAAAUAGAAUUUAUAUUUCUAGAUCCUUGAGGAAUCACCACACUGUCUUCCCUGGCACAUAUACACCAUGGAAUACUAUGCAGCCAUAAAAAACUAUGAGUUUGUGUCCUCCAUAGAGACAUGGAUGAAUCUGGAUACCAUCAUUCUCAGCAAACUGAUGCAAGAACAGAAAACCAAACACUGCAUGAUUUCACUCACAGCCUCCGGUGACACCUGUGCUGUCUCACCUGUACUGUUGCAAUAGCCUCCCAAUGGGACUUCUUGCCUCCACCUGCCUCAAAUCCAUCCAGCACAUGGCCUGCACUGCUGUCUUCUGGGUACGUUUUUGUUUGUUUGCUUUGCCCUUAACACACUUCUCCUAUUGAAAUAAUUACUUCUAACACAAUUUUUAUAAUCCCAGUCAUCUUAGGUAACCAAUUCUCAUGUUAUGGCAGAACAGAUUAGAUUGGCAAGAACAUGGAGUGUUGCAUUGUGG